rnacentral:rRNA from 1 species
UUGGCGGCAGGCCUAACACAUGCAAGUCGAGCGCACUCUUCGGAGUGAGCGGCGGACGGGUUAGUAACGCGUGGGAAUAUACCCUUUUCUACGGAAUAGCCUCGGGAAACUGAGAGUAAUACCGUAUACGCCCUUCGGGGGAAAGAUUUAUCGGUGAAGGAUUAGCCCGCGUAAGAUUAGAUAGUUGGUGGGGUAAUGGCCUACCAAGUCUACGAUCUUUAGCUGGUUUGAGAGGAUGAUCAGCAACACUGGGACUGAGACACGGCCCAGACUCCUACGGGAGGCAGCAGUGGGGAAUCUUAGACAAUGGGCGCAAGCCUGAUCUAGCCAUGCCGCGUGAGUGACGAAGGCCUUAGGGUCGUAAAGCUCUUUCGCCAGAGAUGAUAAUGACAGUAUCUGGUAAAGAAACCCCGGCUAACUCCGUGCCAGCAGCCGCGGUAAUACGGAGGGGGUUAGCGUUGUUCGGAAUUACUGGGCGUAAAGCGUACGUAGGCGGAUUGGAAAGUAGGGGGUGAAAUCCCAGGGCUCAACCCUGGAACUGCCUCCUAAACUAUCAGUCUAGAGUUCGAGAGAGGUGAGUGGAAUUCCAAGUGUAGAGGUGAAAUUCGUAGAUAUUUGGAGGAACACCAGUGGCGAAGGCGGCUCACUGGCUCGAUACUGACGCUGAGGUACGAAAGUGUGGGGAGCAAACAGGAUUAGAUACCCUGGUAGUCCACACCGUAAACGAUGAAUGCCAGACGUCGGGGGGCUUGCCCUUCGGUGUCACACCUAACGGAUUAAGC